GAAGCCCAUUUUCUGUGUGUUUAUAGCACUUUAGUAUUUCUGUAUCACAACACUUACCUUUCCUUAUCAAGGUUCCUACUAAUUUCUAAGUUCCAUGAUGUCAGGCAAUGUGUUUGAAUUGUCUUUGAAUUUCUAGUCAGUUUCCUAAGGCUUCAGAACAUACUUAGAUCAAUAAAAGGUUUGUAAAGGCAGCAGUGAAUGUACUAUUGAUUUCUCACAUAUGCUUUCACAGGACUCUGCCAAAAAUGAAGAUCCUCGUCUUUGCCUUUAUUAUGGCUCUCAUGUUAGCCAUGAUUAGAGCUGAUUCAUCUGAAGAGAAACGUUUCUGGAAAUGGAGAAAAUACAAUUUUGGGUAUUACCAACCAUACCAGCAAUACGUGCCGUAUCAGCGGUAUCCACAAAACUAUCCUAUCUAUCCUUUUCAAUAUCCAUUUCCUUAAAACGCUGCUCGGUAACCACAGGACAUGAUUACAGAGACUUGGUGAGAAGUCCUAUUUGCUUUGUACUCACAAUGAUUCUUCCUGUUCUUCCUGCUGUGUCCAAAUUCCAGCUUUCAAAACAAAGAAAGAAAAAAAAAAGAAAAAGAAAAUUCAAUCAAGUAGUGUUACAUAAAGAAUACACACCUAAGAUCAAAUAUCAAUAAUUUUAAAACAGUAGUAAUGAUAAUCUGACCUUUCUUUUCUCUGUUAAAGUAUUUUGAAAAUUAAAAAAAAAA